rnacentral:lncRNA from 1 species
UUAUCGUAGGUGAUUGAUUUUAGAAACGUUUCAACUUCAACCCAUAACAGGUGUGAAAUAACCCUCGCAGUAGCUUAGAUUAAUAUUCGCCGAAAAGCCGAAAUGCUAAAAUUUUGGCAUUUCGGGAACUUGUGAUUUUGCCUUUGCUUAAAGAUGCGAUAGAUACGAUAUGAUCGGUGUUUGGAUCGAUGGAGCAAGUAAGAGCGCAAUUUUGUGUACGAUGGUAAGUUGGGC